rnacentral:SRP_RNA from 1 species
GCUGGCUGUGGUGGUGCACACCUGUAGUCCCAGCUACUUGGGAGGCUGAGGUGGGGGGAUUGCUUGAGCCUGGGAGGUUGGGGCUGCAGUGAGCUAUGAUUGUGCCACUGCAUGCCAGCCUGGCCAACACAGCAAGACCCUGUCUCUA